GUUGAACGCUGGCGGCGCGCCUAACACAUGCAAGUCGAACGAUUAAAGCACCUUCGGGUGUGUAUAAAGUGGCGAACGGCUGAGUAACACGUGGGCAACCUGCCCCUCUCAUUGGGAUAGCCACGGGAAACCGUGGAUAAUACCGAAUACUUCGGGACUUCCGCAUGGAAGACUCGAGAAAGCUCCGGCGGAGAGGGAUGGGCCCGCGGCCUGUUAGCUUGUUGGUGGGGUAAUGGCCUACCAAGGCAAUGAUGGGUAGCUGGGUUGAGAGACCGACCAGCCAGAUUGGGACUGAGACACGGCCCAGACUCCUACGGGAGGCAGCAGUGGGGAAUCUUGCACAAUGGGCGAAAGCCUGAUGCAGCGACGCCGCGUGCGGGAUGAAGGCCUUCGGGUUGUAAACCGCUUUCAGCAGGGACGAGGCGAAAGUGACGGUACCUGCAGAAGAAGCCCCGGCUAACUACGUG
rnacentral:rRNA from 1 species